CAGCCGCCACGGUAACACGAAGGGGGCUAGCGUUGUUCGGAUUUACUGGGCGUAAAGCGCACGUAGGCGGACUUUUAAGUCAGGGGUGAAAUCCCGGGGCUCAACCCCGGAACUGCCUUUGAUACUGGGAGUCUUGAGUUCGAGAGAGGUGAGUGGAAUUGCGAGUGUAGAGGUGAAAUUCGUAGAUAUUCGCAGGAACACCAGUGGCGAAGGCGGCUCACUGGCUCGAUACUGACGCUGAGGUGCGAAAGCGUGGGGAGCAAACAGGAUUAGAUACCCCUGUAGUCCCUGUCUCUUAUAC
rnacentral:rRNA from 1 species